AUUUUUAUAUGAUGAACUAAAACUGCCUAGCAGCUCUUCCUUCUGUUUUAUUCCAUGCCUUGUCCAUCUGUUGUCCUGUUCCACCCCUCCUCCACAUAACACAAAGCCUUGGGCUCAGUCAGCCCAGGAAGAGGCUCUGGGGAUGAUUCAUGGGUUUGGGGAGAAGGGAGACACUGAUAGAUACAAUCUCUAAUUCAUUAACUGCAGGAAAACCAGAAAAUAUGUAUUCAAUAUGGCAGAGGUCUGAGAAAAGAGGAAAAGACAGUCUCUGAGUAACUAAAUGAGGCCUUUGAGAACUGGAUUAUGUUUCACUAUGCCUCAGAGUUCCUCUCUGAUGUUAGGCAAAUAACUGGGAACCACAAGUCAUGUUAACUAUGACCCUGAUUUGAUCAAGAGGGUGUUUUGCUAGAAAUUUAUGAAUGGUGUUUUCAGAUUUAAAUGAAAUUCAGAACAAGGAUGCCUCUCCCUGUAUAUAAUGAGACCAACAAACUUGGGCCAUAAAACAGGCAUUAGAAGACUCUCCUGGUUGAUGAUGAUGAUGUUUCAUUUUGAAGAACUCCCAUCAAAGUGAGAAUCAACAGGAUCUGGUACUAAAUAAUAUCUUCCCACAAAGAUAGAUGGGUUGACCAGCAAAGACUCUUCUGUUUGGUUCAGAUGUUUUGGGUGCAUGUGGUGUAUUGAGUAGUUAUCAAUGUGCAUUUAUGUUUUACAUGCAUAAGCUUUGAUUGGGGUUUUUUAAUCCACCAUUUAAAUAAACAAAUUCUCUCUCAUAAUAUGCAUAGCACUGUUUCCACUUCUAUGAAUAUGGAUACUAUCUCUAUUUUACAAAUAAAUCAUAACUUCUACAUUAAGAAAGAAGUAGUAUAACAUUGUUUAUAUGCAGGCAGAAAUACCUUAUCUGUUUUUUUGUUUUUAUUAUAAUGUUGUUUGUAAAGCUCUGGAGAUUGUAAAGCUAAUUUCAUUGUAGUUAAACUCCUGGAUAAUGUUCUGUGACUUUGUGCAUUGCUGAUAUACAACAUUCAGAAUAUUUUUUUAUGUUGAAGGCUGGUGUUUAGUCUUGCUUUCACUAAAGCUUGUUAUAAUUUAUCCUGCUCAUUCAGCUGCAAGGUUCAAACCCUGUCCACUGAAUUUCCUUAAUUUCCCAUGUCUUUACUUGCCUGAAACUGUUGUCAUACAACUUUCUAUUCUUAUUUAAGUGACAUCACUUGUUUUUAGCUUAGAAAUCCAAAAUUUGAUCAUUUGUGAAUGAACAUUUGUAGUUCCUUUUGUUUUACGGUGUGGUGUUUAGGAUUUAGGAGACUGAAAAGUAGAAGUGCAAGGGUGAAGGAAAACGGGAAGAAUGUGGAAAAUAAUAGAUGACAGUAUGGUAUUUCUGGCCAAGCUUUAUUAUAAAAUUAUUUUUUGGAAAGCCAAAUGAAAUGGAUUUGUCUUGGUCAUCUGUGCAAAGGAAAGUAGGAGAUAGGAGAAUAAGAAAUUUCUUUACUUGACUGUGCAGGCAUUACCUCAUCACCAGCCCUGUCAGGCAGAUGAAAGCCAUGGAAUCUUUCUUUCUUCCACCUAUAAGGGAAUAGACAAGCCAUAGAAUCAUAUCAAUCUGAAGGGCUGAGGUGACAAGGAAGAGGUCAAGAUGCACUAGGAUACAUAGUGGUGUGAACUGGAAGUUGUCCUUGUAUACUGGGAUAAAACUACAGCUAGGGGUAGUCUUUUCGGAGUCUUUCAAGGGGCUCUGGGUCACUGAGAGUUGUUCCAGAAAUCGUAUUGCAUUCCACACUUUCUCAGUACCAGUAAUUCAAGUGGGUAAAGUAGACAUUGCAUCCAUGAAAUGAUUCCCAAGAAAGAAAUGUCCCUGAGCAAAGAGGCACUUAUGUCACCACUACACCUGUUUGGGCAACAAUGACCUAGAAAAAACCUUUUCUGAAAUGAAACCCUGCAUGGUAGAAACAGUAAAGGUUCAAUCAGGUGCUCCCAUUCCACUGCUGAAUUUUUGAAAACUGAAGGCUGAUCUGAGCUUGCAGACACGCACACGGCUGCAUCUGUGCACACAAAUCUGGUAUUUAUAUAAGAUAUCAUUCCAUAUGUGCUUGUCUUUAGGAGGCAGAAGUCAGUCUGCAAGAAUAUAUUCCUUAAAACCAAUUUACAAUAUACAGCUUCUUGGAAAGAAUGAUGGUUUCUAGUAUUUUUUUCAAGCUAAACAUUUACUUAACAUCCUUUGCUAAAAUGGUCUUUAAAAAAUUUUGUGGUGAGAUU